GACGAACGCUGGCGGCGUGCUUAACACAUGCGAGUCGAACGCUGAAGCUCAGCUUUAGUUGGGUGGAUGAGUGGCGAACGGGUGAGUAACACGUGAGUAACCUGCCUCCUUCUUUGGGAUAACGCCCGGAAACGGGUGCUAAUACUGGAUAUUCACUGGUCUUCGCAUGGGGGUUGGUGGAAAGGGUUUUUCUGGUGGGGGAUGGGCUCGCGGCCUAUCAGCUUGUUGGUGGGGUGAUGGCCUACCAAGGCUUUGACGGGUAGCCGGCCUGAGAGGGUGACCGGUCACAUUGGGACUGAGAUACGGCCCAGACUCCUACGGGAGGCAGCAGUGGGGAAUAUUGCACAAUGGGCGCAAGCCUGAUGCAGCGACGCCGCGUGAGGGAUGGAGGCCUUCGGGUUGUGAACCUCUUUCGCUCAUGGUCAAGCCGCAACAAUGGUUGUGGUGAGGGUAGUGGGUAAAGAAGCGCCGGCUAACUACGUG
rnacentral:rRNA from 1 species